GACGAACGCUGGCGGCGUGCCUAAUACAUGCAAGUAGAACGCUGAAGGAGGAGCUUGCUUCUCUGGAUGAGUUGCGAACGGGUGAGUAACGCGUAGGUAACCUGCCUGGUAGCGGGGGAUAACUAUUGGAAACGAUAGCUAAUACCGCAUAAUAGUAGAUGUUGCAUGACAUUUACUUAAAAGGUGCAAUCGCAUCACUACCAGAUGGACCUGCGUUGUAUUAGCUAGUUGGUGGGGUAACGGCUCACCAAGGCGACGAUACAUAGCCGACCGGAGAGGGGAAUCGGCCAAACUGGGACGGAGACACGGCCCAGACGCCUACGGGAGGCAGCAGGAGGGAAACUUCGGAAAUGGACGAAAGUCUGACCGAGCAACGCCGCGUGAGGGAAGAAGGUUUUCGGAUCGUAAAGCUCUGUUGUAAGAGAAGAACGAGUGUGAGAGUGGAAAGUUCACACUGUGACGGUAUCUUACCAGAAAGGGACGGCUAACUACGUG
rnacentral:rRNA from 1 species